GUCCAAGGAUGGGAAACGAACCCACAGUGUUCCGCUUACCGGGCAGAUGCCAUGUCCACUAGGCUACCCUGGA